rnacentral:rRNA from 1 species
AGUCUGGUGCCAGCAGCCGCGGUAAUUCCAGCUCUGAUAGUAUAUAUUAAAGUUGUUGCAGUUAAGAAGCUCGUAGUUGAAACUUGGGUGCGUAGGGGCGGUCUCUUUUAGAGUACUACCCUGAAACAUCUUUCUUUGGUGUAAACUCUUUAUUCACUUAAGGAGUGUAAACCAAACAUUUACUUUGAAAAAAUUAGAGUGUUCAAAGCAGGCCUUUGCUCGAAUAUAUUAGCAUGGAAUAAUAGAAUAGGACGUAUGGUUCUAUUUUGUUGGUUUCUAGGACCGUCGUAAUGAUUAAUAGGGACGGUCGGGGGCAUCAGUAUUCAGUUGUCAGAGGUGAAAUUCUUGGAUUUACUGAAGACUAACUACUGCGAAAGCAUUUGCCAAGGACGUUUUCAUUAAUCAAGAACGAAAGUUAGGGGAUCGAAGACGAUCAGAUACCGUCGUAGUCUUAACCGUAAACUAUGCCGACUAGGGAUCGGAGGGCGUUAUAAUAACCUCUCCGGCACCUUACGAGAAAUCAAAGUUUUUGGGUUCUGGGGGGAGUAUGGUUGCAAGGCUGAAACUUAAAGGAAUUGACGGAAGGGCACCACCAGGAGUGGAGCCUGCGGCUUAAUUUGACCCAACACGGGGAAACUCACCAGGUCCAGACACAAUAAGGAUUGACAGAUUGAGAGCUCUUUCAUGAUUUUGUGGGUGGUGGUGCAUGGCCGUUCUUAGUUGGUGGAGUGAUUUGUCUGCUUAAUUGCGAUAACGAACGAGACCUUAACCUGCUAAAUAGCUGUAACAAUAGAUUAUUGUUUUGACAGCUUCUUAGAGGGACUAUCGAUUUUCAAGUCGAUGGAAGUUUGAGGCAAUAACAGGUCUGUGAUGCCCUUAGACGUUCUGGGCCGCACGCGCGCUACACUGACGGAGCCAGCGAGUCUAACCUGUGCCGAGAGGUAUGGGUAAUCUUGUGAAACUCCGUCGUGCUGGGGAUAGAGCAUUGCAAUUAUUGCUCUUCAACGAGGAAUUCCUAGUAAGCGCAAGUCAUCAGCUUGCGUUGAUUACGUCCCUGCCCUUUGUACACACCGCCCGUCGCUACUACCGAUUGAAUGGCUUAGUGAGGCUUCCGGAUUGAUUAACUGGAGAGGGCAACUUUUCUGGUUGAACGAGAAGCUAGUCAAACUUGGUCAUUUAGA